UACGUAGGGGGCAAGCGUUGUCCGGAUUUAUUGGGCGUAAAGAGCGUGUAGGCGGCCAGGUAGGUCCGUUGUGAAAACUGGAGGCUUAACCUCCAGCUGUCGAUGGAAACCAUCUGGCUAGAGUCCGGAAGAGGAGAGUGGAAUUCCUGGUGUAGCGGUGAAAUGCGCAGAUAUCAGGAGGAACACCGGUGGCGAAGGCGGGACUCUGGGCCGAUACUGACGCUGAGGAGCGAAAGCGUGGGGAGCAAACAGG
rnacentral:rRNA from 1 species